rnacentral:lncRNA from 1 species
GGAAGAAGUGAAAGAACAACUAGAAAAGAAAAAGAAAGGAUCCAGGGCUCUGGCUGAGUUUGAAGAAAAGAUGAAUGAGAAUUGGAGGAAAGAACUGGAAAAACACAGAGAGAAAUUACUGGGUGGAAGCGAGAGUUCCUCCAAAAAGAAGGAGAAAAAGAAAAAGGAAAAGAAGAAAUCUAAUAGGGUGAGCAAAAUUUUUGGUUUUCUGAGUUUUUUGCUUUGAUGUUGUUCCUAUUUGUCAUUUAAGCUCUUGGAAAGAGAAAGUAUAGCCGUAAUUUUGAAUUUAGCUGUUAAAUUGAUUUUUAUUUGAGAGAGAUGGCUUACAUUCUAUACAAGGAGAAUUUUACUUCUGCUUAAGGGGAGGAAAAGAGCAUGAAAUACAUAUUAUUAAAUGAAAAAUGUUAGAAGUCACUUUUUACAGUUUUAUUUAAGAAAAUUUAUGUAAUACCAGCUUCUUGGAAGUAAAAUUUCAUUGAUAAUACUUUGCAAAUGAAGAAAUUUUAAAGGAAGUGUUUGGAUGGACUUUUGACUAUUUGCCAGACAAAAUGCUGCAUCUCACAAGCUUCACUUUUUGUUGUGUUUGGUCAAGUUGUCUUCAUCUUCCUCUUCUUCAUCAAGCUCUGAUUCUUCCAGCAGUUCAUCUGAUUCAGAAGAUGAGGAUAAAAAGCAAGGGAAGAAAAAAAGGAAAAAGAAAUAUCGCUCCUCACGGAAAUCUUCAACAAGCUCCACUUCUGAAUCGGAGUCAGACAGCAAGGACAGCACAAAAAAGAAAAGGUCAAAGGAAGAUCAUGAAAAAGAGAAGGAAGGCAAAAAUCACCACAGGAAGAGGAAGAAAGCCAGUCGUGGUGAUGGACCUUUAUCAUCAGAAUCCUUAUCGGAAUCAGAUCAUACAGAGGAGGUGCAAGCAAAAAAGAAGAGAAACAAUGAGGAAAAAGAGAAAACAGAUAAAGCAAAAAAGAGAAAGAAGCACAAGAAACACGGUAAAAAGAAGAAAAAGAAGAUUGCUGGUUCAAAUUCAGAUUUGGAAUAAUGUUUUUAAAAUACAAGACUAUCAACAGAAGUGCAAUGACUAA